UUUACGGGAGGCAGCAGUGGGGAAUAUUGGACAAUGGGCGAAAGCCUGAUCCAGCCAUGCCGCGUGUGUGAAGAAGGUCUUCGGAUUGUAAAGCACUUUAAGUUGGGAGGAAGGGCAGUUACCUAAUACGUGAUUGUUUUGACGUUACCGACAGAAUAAGCACCGGCUAACUUCUGUGCCAGCAGCCGCGGUAAU
rnacentral:rRNA from 1 species